GAUGAACGCUGGCGGCGUGCCUAAUACAUGCAAGUCGAGCGAACAGACGAGGAGCUUGCUCCUCUGACGUUAGCGGCGGACGGGUGAGUAACACGUGGAUAACCUACCUAUAAGACUGGGAUAACUUCGGGAAACCGGAGCUAAUACCGGAUAAUAUAUUGAACCGCAUGGUUCAAUAGUGAAAGACGGUUUUGCUGGAACUUAUAGAUGGAUCCGCGCCGCAUUAGCUAGUUGGUAAGUUAACGGCUUACCAAGGGAACGAGGCGUAGCCGACCUGAGAGGGUGAUAGGCCACCCUGGAACUGAGACACGGUCCAGACUCCUACGGGAGGCAGCAGUAGGGAAUCUUCCGCAAUGGGCGAAAGCUUGACGGAGCAACGCCGCGUGAGUGAUGAAGGUCUUCGGAUCGUAAAGCUCUGUUAUUAGGGAAGAACAAAUGUGUAAGUAACUAUGCACGUCUUGACGGUACCUAAUCAGAAAGCCACGGCUAACUACGUG
rnacentral:rRNA from 1 species